rnacentral:tRNA from 1 species
GGGGUUGUAGUUAAAAUCAUAACUUUUAAUUUGCAAUUAAAAAUUAUUCAAAAGAAUUUUCCUCA